rnacentral:sRNA from 1 species
UAGUAGCUAUGUGACCUUGUAAGAUGGGAACCAGCCUACUACCUUUUUUUCCUCCCUCCUCCUCCUCCUCUCCACUGUCUUACUACUGUCCAGCUCUGCAGCGUCCAGCCCAUGGUAGCUGCUCAGUAAGUGGCCCCAGAUGCUCUUGUGUUUCUGUCUUUUAGGACAAGGUCAGGGAGCUUCAGAACCAGGGCAGAGAUGUGGGCCUGGAGGUGUUGGAUAAUGCCCUGCUAGCUCUGCAAGGCCCCACUGCAGCCCAGGUACUACAGGCCGGCGUGGCAGAUGACCUGAGGAAACUGCCCUUCAUGACCAGUGCUGUGAUGGAGGUGUUUGGCGUGUCUGGCUGCCGUGUGACCCGCUGUGGCUACACAGGAGAGGAUGGUGUGGAGGUACUGUGACUAGUGGCUGCCCCUCGCCCUCUCUGAAGAAGAAUGUGGCGAUGGGUUAUGUGCCCUGCGAGUACAGUCGUCCAGGGACAAUGCUGCUGGUAGAGGUGCGGCGGAAGCAGCAGAUGGCUGUAGUCAGCAAGAUGCCCUUUGUGCCCACAAACUACUAUACCCUCAAGUGAAGCUGGCUCAGGGUGGGGCUGUCCCUUCCAGAAGUUUUGCCCCUACAAGGGGUUAGUCAAGAAGCUGAGGCAGAACUCACUGGGGGUGGGCAGUUAAGGUGGAGGCUGAUUCUAAUUGUCUGGCUGAGGGGCCACACCACCUAUUCCCCCCACCUAACUCAUGCCACUCCAGCUUCCUUCAGGACCCUGCUUCUGAGUGACGGACCAGCUCACACAAUGUCUUGUUUCAGUCCAUGAUCCCACUGACCUACUCUUGCCUGCUGGAGGGUAAUGAGAAGCUUUGGUUCUGCCAUCUCUCCCACUCUGCCAGGUGCUGGCUGUGGAGCAAAGGCUCACCUUUGUGGGGAGGAUAAAACCUGCCCAACCUACCUCACCAUGGUUUUUCACAUUGCAAACGGUAAUAACAUGGGCAGUGUGGACUUAGGCUACCCCCUCCAGUUUGCUUUCCGUAAAUGCAAAUUGUCCCUACUGCAAGUCAGGAAUGAUUGCCGACUCACAGUAGGGCUGCUAUGCCUGUGUGUAAACUUGGGGAUGGCUGAGGGAACACAGACUCACUCUUCCGCAUUCCCAAGUUGGUCUAGUGUGCUGCCCAGUAGCAAACCAUGGCAGGCUCACCACCUAUUCUGAGCUCCAGGGCUGUUGUAGGGCAGGGUGGGCUUCCUCCCAGACUUGCCUUACCCUGGGCUGAUCUUUGCCCCUGGUAUGC